UGCAAGGCAGAGGUUUGAGCAGUAUUGGUUGAGAAGACCUGUACUCUUGGGAUCUUCUGUUGCUCAUGCAAACGGUUAUGCUGUAGAUGCUACAUGAGGGACUCAAUCCAUUCAUUCAUUGGCUUUUACUUCAAUUACAAAAGCAAUCGCCCACAUUGUAACUGCAAACUCAGUUUUUGCACUCUCAACUCAUCUGUGGAAAUCACUGAGAGUAAUAUAUUAGAUUGUUGGGAAUAUGUAAUGCAAAAUUUAUAUAAUUGAGUGUUUUUACUUUUCCAUACUAGAUUUUUUUUUUAAUUGUUACAUUAUUUAAUUAAAAGAAAAUGUGACUAUGUAGCCUUUCCUGUAUUUGUAUCUAAUUUAUUUAAAAUGUCU
rnacentral:misc_RNA from 1 species